rnacentral:rRNA from 1 species
GACGAACGCUGGCGGCGUGCUUAACACAUGCAAGUCGAACGGAAAGGCCCUGCUUUUGUGGGGUGCUCGAGUGGCGAACGGGUGAGUAACACGUGAGUAACCUGCCCUUGACUUUGGGAUAACUUCAGGAAACUGGGGCUAAUACCGGAUAGGAGCUCCUGCUGCAUGGUGGGGGUUGGAAAGUUUCGGCGGUUGGGGAUGGACUCGCGGCUUAUCAGCUUGUUGGUGGGGUAGUGGCUUACCAAGGCUUUGACGGGUAGCCGGCCUGAGGGGGUGACCGGCCACAUUGGGACUGAGAUACGGCCCAGACUCCUACGGGAGGCAGCAGUGGGGAAUAUUGCACAAUGGGCGGAAGCCUGAUGCAGCAACGCCGCGUGCGGGAUGACGGCCUUCGGGUUGUAAACCGCUUUCGCCUGUGACGAAGCGUGAGUGACGGUAAUGGGUAAAGAAGCACCGGCUAACUACGUGCCAGCAGCCGCGGUGAUACGUAGGGUGCGAGCGUUGUCCGGAUUUAUUGGGCGUAAAGGGCUCGUAGGUGGUUGAUCGCGUCGGAAGUGUAAUCUUGGGGCUUAACCCUGAGCGUGCUUUCGAUACGGGCUGACUUGAGGAAGGUAGGGGAGAAUGGAAUUCCUGGUGGAGCGGUGGAAUGCGCAGAUAUCAGGAGGAACACCAGUGGCGAAGGCGGUUCUCUGGGCCUUUCCUGACGCUGAGGAGCGAAAGCGUGGGGAGCGAACAGGCUUAGAUACCCUGGUAGUCCACGCUGUAAACGGUGGGUACUAGGUGUGGGGUCCAUUCCACGGGUUCCGUGCCGUAGCUAACGCUUUAAGUACCCCGCCUGGGGAGUACGGCCGCAAGGCUAAAACUCAAAGGAAUUGACGGGGCCCCGCACAAGCGGCGGAGCAUGCGGAUUAAUUCGAUGCAACGCGUAGAACCUUACCUGGGUUUGACAUGGAUCGGGAGUGCUCAGAGAUGGGUGUGCCUCUUUUGGGGUCGGUUCACAGGUGGUGCAUGGCUGUCGUCAGCUCGUGUCGUGAGAUGUUGGGUUAAGUCCCGCAACGAGCGCAACCCUUGUUCACUGUUGCCAGCACGUUAUGGUGGGGACUCAGUGGAGACCGCCGGGGUCAACUCGGAGGAAGGUGGGGAUGACGUCAAGUCAUCAUGCCCCUUAUGUCCAGGGCUUCACGCAUGCUACAAUGGCUGGUACAGAGAGUGGCGAGCCUGUGAGGGUGAGCGAAUCUCGGAAAGCCGGUCUCAGUUCGGAUUGGGGUCUGCAACUCGACCUCAUGAAGUCGGAGUCGCUAGUAAUCGCAGAUCAGCAACGCUGCGGUGAAUACGUUCCCGGG